rnacentral:rRNA from 1 species
AGUGAACGCUGGCGGUAGGCCUAACACAUGCAAGUCGAACGGCAGCACAGUAAGAGCUUGCUCUUACGGGUGGCGAGUGGCGGACGGGUGAGGAAUACAUCGGAAUCUACUUUUUCGUGGGGGAUAACGUAGGGAAACUUACGCUACUACCGCACACGACCUACGGGUGAAAGCCGGGGAUCUUCGGACCUUGCGCGAUUGACUGAGCCGAUGUCGGAUUAGCUAGUUGGCGGGGUAAAGGCCCACCAAGGCGACGAUCCGUAGCUGGUCUGAGAGGAUGAUCAGCCACACUGGAACUGAGACACGGUCCAGACUCCUACGGGAGGCAGCAGUGGGGAAUAUUGGACAAUGGGCGCAAGCCUGAUCCAGCCAUACCGCGUGGGUGAAGAAGGCCUUCGGGUUGUAAAGCCCUUUUGUUGGGAAAGAAAAGCAUCAGGUUAAUACCCCGCUGUUCUGACGGUACCCAAAGAAUAAGCACCGGCUAACUUCGUG